GAUGAACGCUGGCGGCGUGCCUAAUACAUGCAAGUCGAGCGAACGGACGAGAAGCUUGCUUCUCUGAUGUUAGCGGCGGACGGGUGAGUAACACGUGGAUAACCUACCUAUAAGACUGGGAUAACUUCGGGAAACCGUAGCUAAUACCGGAUAAUAUUUUGAACCGCAUGGUUCAAGAGUGAAAGACGGUCUUGCUGUCACUUAUAGAUGGAUCCGCGCUGCAUUAGCUAGUUGGUAAGGUAACGGCUUACCAAGGCAACGAUGCAUAGCCGACCUGAGAGGGUGAUCGGCCACACUGGAACUGAGACACGGUCCAGACUCCUAAGGGAGGCAGCAGUAGGGAAUCUUCCGCAAUGGGCGAAAGCCUGACGGAGCAACGCCGCGUGAGUGAUGAAGGUCUUCGGAUCGUAAAACUCUGUUAUUAGGGAAGAACAUAUGUGUAAGUAACUGUGCACAUCUUGACGGUACCUAAUCAGAAAGCCACGGCUAACUACGUG
rnacentral:rRNA from 1 species